GAGCCGAGCAUUUAAAAUUGAACAACAGAGCGAUAUGAAGUUUACAAAUGGGUUGAAUCAGGACUAGAACACGAUUAAAUUAUUGGAAACGUAUUUGACAGAUUAUGACCAUGAUUACUUUUAUUGUCCAAAAUGUUCCGUAAUUGAAAUUACUACUAUAUAGGAACAUUAUUUCAAAGGUGAUAGAUAUGACAUGAUAAAAUUAUGAACGAAGUUUUCACCAUACACAUUACUAAUAACCUUAUGACUACAAUUCGAGUAGAGUUAGGAAAAAAAUAUUCAUAUGGGAUAAAAAGGGUCAAGGAUUAAUGAAAACAAAAAAAAAAUUGUAGAGAAAAAUUAAUGUGACAAAGAAGAAGAAUCAGAUGGAGUUAAAUAAGUCUAAUUUUUGAAAUAAUUGGCUUUGUUGGGCCUAGUUUAAAAUUCUGUUGUGCAUACAUUUGAGAAUCUUUUAAUUCGUAGAAUACACGAAACUUUGGGGAGAAAGUUAAAUCGUGUGAUUAAAAGCAUGACACGUGGAAAAACACUCAUCGUACAAUUAAAAAUGUAUCCGUUGCUUAAAGCGUAUAUAUCAGAGAAAUCCACGGUUCUUCACUUCUUAGAGUUUUCUCUCAAGAGAUUUCUCUCUCGAACUCUUUUUCAUAAAAUGUUACAAGCCGAAGUUCACAGCAUUCUUAAAAUAUGAUCUUGAAAAGCGCUUGAAUCCGUUUGGAAUCAUCGUUGAGAAUGUGGUGAAUGUGGAGAAACCAUCAUUGACAGAUUGAAGAUAAAGUGUGAAUCUUUGAGUUCAACGGCAACAAAAAGCAGAUAAGUUCUCUUACAUUACGUUUUUUUUAUCAGACUCCAAAAAGAUCAUAGGCAGACACUAAUCUAAUAGUGUUCUAGCCAGAUUCUUAUUUUGGGGACAUUGUCCCGAGUCCCUGUUCCGUGAAAGCUAGCUUAGUCCCAAUACAAAAUCUAAAUCCAUCUCCCUAGAAACUGUUGGUUGGUAGUGCAAAGAGAUGUUUGGCGGGGGAUGGAGAGUAACACCUCCUUUAGUACCCACGGCUUUUUACAAAACAACCAUCGGCUUAAAAUAGUCUUAAGACAUGAAAUGACUAUGGCUAUGGCUCUGAAAGGACCAUCGACUUACAAAGUCUUUUAAGACAAAAGGCUAUGAAUUGGUUAUGAACUUGUUGGAUGCAAAUACCGACCACAAGUGAUGAAAACUAAUUGUCCCGAGUCCCGUUGUGUGAAACUGUUGGAUGGAUAUAACGACCACAAGUGAUGAAAACUAAGUGUCCCGAGUCCCGUUGCGUGAAAUAACGAGAAAAGUUAUGAAAAGUAGUAAACCCACGGCUUAAAAAACAAGUCUUUAGACAGAGACUGUGAUUGUAAGAAAGUCUUUAGACAGAGCCUGUAUUUAUUACAUUAGUACCCACGGCUGGCAAGAAAGUCUUUUGACAAAGACUGUGAUUGAAAACGUCUUCAUCGGAUUUGUACCCACGGCUUGCAAAAAAAAUAAAAAUCAUUUGACAAAAACUGUGAUUGAGAACGUCCUCAUCACAUUUGUAAUGGCUUACAAAAAAAGUCUUUUGACAGAGACUGAUGAAAAUGUAUUCAUCACAUUAGUACCCACGGUUUAGAAAAUACCAACGCCUUUGCAAAAAAAAGUUUAAGACAAGGCUAUGAGAUCGUCCCAAUGGCUCUAAAAACUAUUGGUUGGUAGUGCAUGUCUAUGUAGAGAUGUUUGGGGAUGGUAAGUAGAACUUACUUUAGUACCUACGGCUUUACAAAAUGUCUUUAGACAGAAAAUGACUGUCUAAGGCUAUGAAUUGGUUUUGGAACUUGAUGAAUGGAAAUAACGAUCACAAGUCAUGAAAACUAAUUGUCCCGAGUCCCGUUGCGUGAAAUAACGAUCACAAGUUAUGAAAAGUAAACCCACAGCUUUAUUAAUAUUGGAAUGCACGGUUUGAGAGAAGUCUUCAGACAAGGACUACUUUAAAUCUAAACCACGUUCAUUGCUUAACCACAGCUCUAUGAAGCAAAGGAUUUGAGGGUGCAAAGUGUGACACAAUUUAGUACCAAUGGCUUAAAAACAAGUCUUUAGACAGAGACUGUGAUUGAAAAUGUCUUCAUCAUGUUAAUACCAACGGCUUAAAAUAACAAGCCUAGUAUUACCCACGGCUUAAAAACAAGUCUUUAGACAGAGACUUUGGUUGUAAGAAAGUCUUUAGACAAAGACUGUAUUUAUCACAUUAGUAGCCACAGUUGCCAAAAAGACUUUUACACAAAGACUGAUUGAAAACGUCUUCAUCACAUUAGUACCCACGGCUUGCAAUAAAGUUUUUUUGACAAAGACUGUGAUUGAAAAUGUCUUCAUCGCACUUGUACCCACGGCUUUGCAAUAAGUUCUAGACAAAGACUGUGAUUGAAUAUACACGUCUUCAUCACAUUAGUACCUAAGGCUUGCAACUGUGAUUGAAAACGUCUCUUUGACAUUAGUACCCACGGCUUGCAUAAAAGGUCAUUUUGACGAAGACUUCAUCACAACAGUACCCAAGGCUUGCACGAAAGGUCUUUAGACAAAAGACUGUGAUUGAAAAGCCUUCUUGAAUCUAAACCAGAUUCAUUGCUUACCCACGUCUAUGUGAAGCAGAUGAUGUUUGGGGAUGCCAAGUGUGAUUAGUACCCACGGCUUGCAAGACAAUAUUUAGACUGAUUGAGAAUGUAUUCAUUACAUUAGUAGUAUAGUACCCAUGACUUAGAAAAAGUCUUAUGACAAGACUAUGAAUUGAUUUUCAACUUCGUUGGAUGGAAAUAACGACCAACGGCUUUAUAAAAGUCAAUCAACGACUUAUAACAUAGAGUCUCAAGGCAAAUGCUAUGAAUUGAACACACACCUUGCGAAUCUUUUGUUGGAUGAAAAAAAACGAUGAACUGUUCAGAAAACGUCUUACAAAAACUCUAAAUCUAAACCAUAUCCAUUGCUUUACCCACAGUUCUAUGAAGCAAAAGGAUGUUUGAAGAUGCCAAGUGUGACAAAAUGUAGUACCCACGGCCUUAAAAAAAAAGUCUUUAGACAAAGACUGUGAUUAAAAAUACGUUUUCAUUACGUUAGUACCCUCGGAUUCAAAACAAGUCUUGAGACAAAGACUGUGUUAAUCAUCAAAUUAGUACCCACGGCUUGCGAUAAAGGUCUUUAGACAAAGACUGUGAUUGAAAACGUUUUCAGCACAUUUGUACCCACGGCUUUGCAAAAAGGACUGAUUAAAAUAUCUUCAUCACAUUAGUACUCACGGCUUGCA